UACGAAGGGGGCUAGCGUUGUUCGGAAUCACUGGGCGUAAAGGGCGCGUAGGCGGCUGUUCAAGUCGGGGGGGAAAGCCUGUGGCUCAACCACAGAAUUGCCUUCGAUACUGGACGGCUCGAGACCGGAAGAGGUCAGUGGAACUGCGAGUGUAGAGGUGAAAUUCGUAGAUAUUCGCAAGAACACCAGUGGCGAAGGCGGCUGACUGGUCCGGUUCUGACGCUGAGGCGCGAAAGCGUGGGGAGCAAACAGG
rnacentral:rRNA from 1 species